rnacentral:rRNA from 1 species
UUUGUAGGUUGUUUGGUAAGUCUGUUGUUAAAUCUUGAAGCUCAACUUCAAAACUAUAAUAGAAACUACUAGACUUGAGGAUAGUAGGGGUAAAGGGAAUUUCCAGUGGAGCGGUGAAAUGCGUAGAGAUUGGAAGGACCACCGAUGGCGAAGGCACUUUACUGGGCUAUUUCUGACACUAAGAAACGAAAGCUAGGGUAGCGAAUG